rnacentral:rRNA from 1 species
CCUACGGGAGGCAGCAGUGAGGAAUAUUGGUCAAUGGACGAGAGUCUGAACCAGCCAAGUAGCGUGAAGGGUGACUGCCCUAUGGGUUGUAAACUUCUUUUAUAUGGGAAUAAAACGUUCCACGUGUGGGAUUUUGUAUGUACCAUAUGAAUAAGGAUCGGCUAACUCCGUGCCAGCAGCCGCGGUAAUACGGAGGAUCCGAGCGUUAUCCGGAUUUAUUGGGUUUAAAGGGAGCGUAGGUGGAUUGUUAAGUCAGUUGUGAAAGUUUGCGGCUCAACCGUAAAAUUGCAGUUGAAACUGGCAGUCUUGAGUACAGUAGAGGUGGGCGGAAUUCGUGGUGUAGCGGUGAAAUGCUUAGAUAUCACGAAGAACUCCGAUUGCGAAGGCAGUUCACUGGACUGCAACUGACACUGAGGCUCGAAAGUGUGGGUAUCAAACAGGAUUAGAUACCCGAGUAGUC